GUAUAGGUUUAAUGACUGCGACCAAGCACAAUCGUUAAAAGACAUUCUGUAACUUUAUAAGUGUAUAUGAAAACAUAGCCUUGAAGAAAAGCAAGCAGGAGAAGGACUUGCGCCCAUUCCCCCAGACCGCAUUGCUGCGAGAGGUUCACUUUUUUCAAGACUACAAAAUGUGCACAAGAGAAGAUAAAUAGAUGGACGAGCACAUGCCCCGUAAAGAGCCAGCAUCAGUACCAAUCGUAUUCAAUAAUGAUCCUUCCGCAGGUUCACCUACGGAAA
rnacentral:misc_RNA from 1 species